GUCCGCGCGCGCGGGGCGGCCGCGGCGGUGAGCCUGCGCGUCAGGGCCGCCGGCCUCUCCUUGGCUGUUGGAGGUGAUAGGGGUCGAGGGGAGGGAAAAAGGGGCUGGCGUCAGCCGCCCCUGUGAGGUGGCCGUAGCGUGGACGAGUAAGAAGGGUUGAGUAAAGUGGACAAACACCUGGUUAGGAGAAGAGGGCAGGCCCGCAGCCGCCCUCCGGAGGAGGACUCGGGGCCUCGCGGGCGCCGGAGGAGGUUCCUGGGCCUCGGAGGGCCGCCCCGGCGCGCCGCCCCGGCGCGAGCGGGCGCGGGCGGGGGAGGGGAAGUGAGAGGUUGUUUAUGACCGGGGACUAAUCUCCUCCGCGAGUCCCAGCGCUCCCUCUGGGGAGUGCGGUUGAGGGGCUGUCCUCGCACGGAGCCUCGCUCGGCCUCGGGGGAGCCACGAGAGGUGGGAGUUGGACCCGCAGCGGGCCAGGAGCCCUGUCAUUGGAGGACCCGCCAAAAAGGAAGCAAACCCUCUUUUUCUUUAUCCAACCCCAAAUAGCUAGGGCCUAGGGGGAAGACUCACAUAUCGAUAAAUGGUUUGUUGCCCGUUUUAUUCUCUGGGAAAUACAACUGAUCUUACCAAAGAAAUAACCUGUCUCUUGCCGUGUUUACUUAGAGCCAUAGAAUACCUGUUUCAGAGCUGAAGGGGACCUGAGCCCAUGAUAAUCCAUUACCUCGUGAGAAAGCGGAAAAACUGACUUCAGCUUGCCCAGAUGGCGCAGAGAAUGGGUUUCCCGUAACCCCGCCUGUGUCUUUCCUUCAGCCUCGUCCCAAAUGCCGUGGGAGGGAAGGCACUCUCUGUCAAGCUGCUGUCACCUUACCUGAAGUAAGGAGUCCACGCCUGCAUGUCCGAGGAAAACAGUUUUCUCAAACACAUUAGUUGAAAAACUGAAGACGCUGCCUAAAAUACAAGCUGAGUUAGAGACAGCCCUUGUAAGACUAGAAAAAGAAAUGGAAACUAAGUAACAUGAAUUAACAUAGUCCAGGGUCACAAAGCAACAUGGAACAAGAACCUGGAUCUGAAUUCAGAGGCAGAAUGCUGGCUCCUUCAGGAGGUAUCCAAAGGCAUUGUUAUGGUGGGAGAUGACAGCUCCAUGCCUGUUAUUGCCUCUGAAGACCAUGCAGGACACCAUGUGGAGAUAGAAGACGGUGACAUUGAGAAUCCUGACCUUAUGCUGGCCUAGGCUAAUGUGUGUGUUUGUGUCUUAGUUUUUAACAAAAAAGUUUAUAAAGUAAAUAAAUAGAAAAUAGCAUAUAGAAUAAGGAUAUAAAGAAGGGAAA
rnacentral:lncRNA from 10 species